CGGUGAGAGGAUGAUUAUGACUAGUUUCCCUAUUGGUUUGAUAGCCGGGAUGAUGGCUUUUAUUGUAUUAGCUCUGUCUGAUUACAU